rnacentral:rRNA from 1 species
GACAGAGGGUGCGAACGUUGUUCGGAAUUACUGGGCGUAAAGCGCAUGUAGGCGGCCGCGCAGGUCGGAUGUGAAAGCCCUGGGCUCAACCCAGGAAGUGCAUUCGAAACCGCGCGGCUCGAGUCCCGGAGAGGAAGUUGGAAUUCUCGGUGUAGAGGUGAAAUUCGUAGAUAUCGGGAGGAACACCGGCGGCGAAGGCGGACUUCUGGACGAGGACUGACGCUGAGAUGCGAAAGCGUGGGGAGCGAACAGG